rnacentral:rRNA from 1 species
GAUGAACGCUGGCGGCGUGCUUAAUACAUGCAAGUCGAACGAGAGUACCUUGUAGCAAUACGGGGCGCUCUAGUGGCGAAUGGGUGCGUAACACGUAGGUGACCUGCCCCGAAGUGUGGAAUAACAGUUCGAAAGGACUGCUAAUACCGCAUGUGGUCCUGGAGGUUAGAGGCUCCGGGUCUAAAGCUGCUCGCAAGAGUGGCGCUUCGGGAGGGGCCUGCGGCCCANCAGGUAGUUGGUAGGGUAACGGCCUACCAAGCCAUCGACGGGUAGGGGAUCUGAGAGGAUGGUCCCCCACACUGGC